GAAAAAGAGCUUCCUGGCUCCUUCCUACGUGGCCUGGGGGAUGAGUUACCUGGUUUCAUCCCCUCCUUCCUUUCUUUUCCUUUGGGGAGUUCACCAAUCCCUGUCCAUGUGGGCAUUGGAGGGGGUACAGACAGACCCUGCUGGGGCAAAGGGAAGUCCCAUGAAUUAUGUGCUCGUUCAAUUUUACCAGGUGCAGGCAACAUGUUUUCCCAAAGCGGUUGUGUAACUUUUCCCUCCCGUCAGCAGAAUUCUCUUGUAUCCC
rnacentral:lncRNA from 1 species